UACGUAGGGUGCAAGCGUUGUCCGGAAUUAUUGGGCGUAAAGAGCUCGUAGGCGGUCUGUCGCGUCGGCUGUGAAAUCCCGGAGCUCAACUCCGGGCCUGCAGUCGAUACGGGCAGACUGGAGUUCGGCAGGGGAGACUGGAAUUCCUGGUGUAGCGGUGAAAUGCGCAGAUAUCAGGAGGAACACCGGUGGCGAAGGCGGUUCUCUGGGCCUGUACUGACGCUGAGGAACGAAAGCGUGGGGAGCGAACAGG
rnacentral:rRNA from 1 species